AUCCUAAAUAAGCUGAGUUAUAACAAGUGCUUAUUUGAUUCAUGGGAGACCUAAAUCAAAAUCACAAAUGGACGUUUUGCUGAUAACACCUUGCUCUUUUUUCAGGAGGCGUUUACUAGUAACUAUUCCCAUACAAUG